UGGCGGACGGGUGAGUAACGCGUGGGCAACCUGCCCUGUACAGGGGGAUAACACUUAGAAAUAGGUGCUAAAACCGCAUAAGCGCACAGUACCGCAUGGUACAGUGUGAAAAACUCCGGUGGUACAGGAUGGACCCGCGUCUGAUUAGCUGGUUGGAGGGGUAACGGCCCACCAAGGCGACGAUCAGUAGCCGGCCUGAGAGGGUGAACGGCCACAUUGGGACUGAGACACGGCCCAGACUCCUACGGAAGGCAGCAG
rnacentral:rRNA from 1 species